GGGCCCAUGGCGCAACGGCUAGCGCGCCUGAUUUGCAUUCAGGAGGUUAAGGGUUCAAAUCCCUUUGGGUCCA
rnacentral:tRNA from 1 species